ensembl:lncRNA
CCUGUGUGCUUUUUGAUUGGUGGAGAAUGGCCUACUGUGCUACACUUUGUUCAAUUAGUUGUGAUUGGAUAGAUGUGGUGACAAGUGUAACAUAUGCAAUGCAGUAGACAGAAGGGGAACCCUGCCUAUGUCCUGUACUCCACUCAAUUCAAUAUAGGCAGGGACGUGCACAGGAGGGGGCUAAGGUUGCCCGGGCAACUGCCCGUCUGCCCUCCUCGACCGAAGGACUUUUUUUUUUUUUUAAACAGUAUAACGGCGGCGGUUACAAAAAUGUACGUGUUACCCCUUUUUUCCAGGGCAGAGCAAAGGCCCUUCAAAAUUCCUGUGCACGUCCCUGAAUAUAGGUUUGAUGUUUUCCUUCAUAACCUUAAAACACUGCCUAUGAUUAAGCAGUAGUGGUACACAGCAGGUGAUGCUAUAUACCACUGCUACAGGACAUGUUGCCAAGCAGAAUGCCUUUAGCGCCUGUAAAAGUGGUCUAUGUGUCACUUGCUUAGGGUGUGCGGUUGUUUUUUGUUUUUGCAUGGGUGCUAGCAGUUAAUGCAAUUUGGCCCACAAACACCUGCUGCAACUUGCUGAGUCACAGAGUGACAUGGAUAAAUGAGUUUCUUUCGUCCACAAACUGAAGUAUUUGCAGACCUUUGUCCACAAAAGAAAAAUCAUUAAUUUGAGUUGUAUUGAAACCAAAGUGCAUGUCAUUGCAUUUACAGUAAUUACAUUAACACUUUCUACCACAACAAUCUAUUAAUCAAGGCAUUAGCGAGUAAUUGUGAUACUAAUUGUGUAUCUGGCAAGAUUGAUUCGACUAUGAGACUACUUCACCGGUAUUUCAGUCCUUGAGAUAAUACAAUUGAUGUGUAUUAAUAAAAUGUCUUGAUUACACUGUUUAAAAAUACAAUAUAGUGUUCAAGUACAAGUUACAAGGACACUUGAAGUGCCAGUGUGUCAAGAUAUUUUGUCACUGAACCAUCUUUUCUCAAAGUAUGAAUUUAACAUAAAAUCCAUUACGUUCAAAUGGACUUUGACCUGACAGUCAUCUGUAUACUUCUGUUUGAGUAAGUACUUUGAAUGGGGCAGGCCCCUAAUAUCCACUGAACAUCUUGAGGAGCCACUCCCUUUAGAGCAGCGUCCGUCCCUCACAGAGUCACUGCAUAGUAUCUGGUCCCACAAGGGUCUAACACGUACUUAAAGGGUCUCUAUUGGUGUUAUCUAACGUGUUUAUUGAAUGCUAGAUUGGGAAUGUUUUGGUUUAUGAAGAUGAGGUGAUAAGGAUGGAAUUUGAAUAGUUCUGCCUUGCAUAUAGCAAGUAUGUAUGAAACAACAGACGUGCAUAGAUGCAUGACUUCAAAUUGUCUGUGUAAACAUCUUUGUAUCCGUGUUGUGGUUUGACCUCGUGAAGCAUUUAUUUGCUGUGUGUCUGUGUGUGUGUGUGUGUGUGUGUGUGUGUGUGUGUGUGUGUGUGUGUGUGUGUGUGUGUCUGUGUGUGCAUUGAGUUGUGGGGCUGACGCGGCAGAAAUUGCUGCAGUGUAGAGAGAUGCUGCCCUGAUGGGAGAGAGGGAGGGAUACGGAAUAGAUGGAGAGGCACGCGCGAAACUCAUCUCUGACUCCACUCCAAGCCUGAAGGUGUGAGUGUGCAUCAGACGCAGGACGAGUGCUGAAGGUGUGAGUGUGUAUCAGACGCAGGACGGGUGCUGAAGGCUCUAUGUGUCAUUCGUUUACUCACCAAUCCUCCCACCAGAGACAGUGGCACUGAGUCUCAGUCAAUGAGUGCCUCUCACUGAAGGAGAAGGAGAGAGAAGCGGGAAGAUCGGGGCUGUGAGAGUGAGUGCGGGUAGAGUGUGUGUGUGUGUGUGUGUGUGUGUGUGUGUUUGGAGACGGCACACUAGAGCAGACCUGUGUAAGGAUGCGCUGGAGACGGAGGAGAUCGCCGGGGCAAGGGAGGCGGGAGGCGGACAGGACCUCUGACUCUACCUUCAGCAUGCCCUUCUUUAAAGGUACCAUACGUCUGGGUUUGACACUGGAUGCUCAGGGACAAUGUUUGAGUGUGCAAGCCAAAUCUGAUUUGUUACGCUAUGAAUAUAUGAAUGGUACACACACAUCUCUAGGGGAGUGUAAGAGAGAUCAUUAUUGUUAUUGUUUGAGAUGAGUCAUCUCCGCUGUGGCGUUUGCAAAGGCUGUCUAAACCUGUAUAUGUGAAAAAGAGUUUCUGGUGUACAUAUUGAUCAAGCACACAUGCUGGUGUCUGCUGCCUGCUGCCUGCUGCCUGCUGCGGACACAGACCCUUACUGGCGGUUCAUUCAUCACCUAUGCUGCAUGCUCCUCAAUGACACUUACUGCCUGAAUGUAUAUGUAUACACACUGUGCUUGCAGUAAAGGGUGGAGAGGAGCUUCAUAUAUUUAGUUCAAGAAUCUCUGCAGGCAGCCGGUAUAUUGCAUCUUGGUUCUCAGCUGUAUGAUUUCCUGCGUAUCUACUAAAAAGCAUAUACAGAUGCACACAUAAUGAUAUUGUUUCUGUUAUGAUACAUAUAAGGUAAACAGAUCAGAUCAGAUGAUACAGAUACACACAUAAUGAUAUUGUUUAUGUUAUGAUACAUAUAAGGUAAACAGAUCAGAUCAGAUGAUACAGAUACACACAUAAUGAUAUUGUUUAUUAUGUCUGUUAUGAUACAUAUAAGGUAAACAGAUCAGAUCAGAUCAGAUGAGCAGAGGCUGAAAAUAACUUCAUAAUGUCUCCUCCUCACGGAGCUGCUUGCGGGGUGGGUGUUAUAUUGACAUGGGUACACAAACACAGCCACUUCCCAAUAUUUGCAUUAACAACAGGUUUAUUGAGUGCUGCAGUAUAACUCCUCACUACCUCCCUAAAAAGAUGCAGUUGUCACAGGGAUAGCGGAACAGUCAACCCACUUUGCAAAAACUUCAAAAAUGUUUGAAUUUAAAUUGAUUGUCUUGUGAUUGAUUGUACAGAUAUAUUUUACUUUCAAUGCAUUAAAUGUAGAUGUCAAUUAAUGUAUGAGAUGACACAGGUACAUAUGGUACAUUUACCCACGUAAAUAUGAUUAGCAGAUGCAAUUACAUUUUUUUUUAAUUAUUCUUAUAUUGUUGCAAAGCAAAAAUUAAUUAAUUAAUCUAAAACGCAUAUAAAGUAAAAGGUUAGAAUGUGCAGUAUGCGACAACAUUUGAACAAAGUUUCUACGUUAAGCAUUUCAAGCUUAAUUAUGUUACAGAAAAUAAGAAAAUCUAUGAAUAUCAGUAUAAUGUGUUGGUUGCCUACUGAGUGCAAUUAAAUCCACUGACUGCUUGCCUAGUGCUACGUUUAGCUCUAAGAUGAUCUCUAAGUAAAUGAUCAAAUCACCUGCAGGAAAGCCUCCUAGUGUGUCUUGGGAUAACUACUUUACAGUGGAGCAACUCAGGAUUAAGCACCUUGCUCAGGGACACCAUGGCGACAACCUCAGGGAUUGAACUCUCG